rnacentral:rRNA from 1 species
UGGGGAAUAUUGCACAAUGGGCGCAAGCCUGAUGCAGCCAUGCCGCGUGUAUGAAGAAGGCCUUCGGGUUGUAAAGUACUUUCAGCGGGGAGGAAGGUGUUGAGGUUAAUAACCUCAGCAAUUGACGUUACCCGCAGAAGAAGCACCGACUAACUCCGUGCCAGCAGCCGCGGUAAUACGGAGGGUGCAAGCGUUAAUCGGAAUUACUGGGCGUAAAGCGCACGCAGGCGGUCUGUCAAGUCGGAUGUGAAAUCCCCGGGCUCAACCUGGGAACUGCAUUCGAAACUGGCAGGCUAGAGUCUUGUAGAGGGGGGUAGAAUUCCAGGUGUAGCGGUGAAAUGCGUAGAGAUCUGGAGGAAUACCGGUGGCGAAGGCGGCCCCCUGGACAAAGACUGACGCUCAGGUGCGAAAGCGUGGGGAGCAAACA